rnacentral:rRNA from 1 species
GGGAAACCCAGUGUGUUUCGACACACUAUCAUUACGUGAAUACAUAGCGUAAUGAAGCGAACCGGGGGAACUGAAACAUCUAAGUACCCCGAGGAAAAGAAAUCAACCGAGAUUCCCCCAGUAGCGGCGAGCGAACGGGGAGGAGCCCAGAGCCUGAAUCAGCAUGUGUGUUAGUGGAAGCGUCUGGAAAGGCGCGCGAUACAGGGUGACAGCCCCGUACACAAAAGCGCAUGUGCUGUGAGCUCGAUGAGUAGGGCGGGACACGUGGUAUCCUGUCUGAAUAUGGGGGGACCAUCCUCCAAGGCUAAAUACUCCUGACUGACCGAUAGUGAACCAGUACCGUGAGGGAAAGGCGAAAAGAACCCCGGCGAGGGGAGUGAAAAAGAACCUGAAACCGUGUACGUACAAGC